GCACUUUAAGCAGUGAAGAAGACUCCGUGGUUAAUACCCACGGACGAUGACAUUAGCUGCAGAAUAAGCACCGGCUAACUCUGUGCCAGCAGCCGCGGUAAUACAGAGGGUGCAAGCGUUAAUCGGAAUUACUGGGCGUAAAGGGAGCGUAGGUGGCUCUAUAAGUCAGAUGUGAAAUCCCCGGGCUCAACCUGGGAACUGCAUCUGAAACUGUAGAGCUAGAGUAGGUGAGAGGGAGGUAGAAUUUCAGGUGUAGCGGUGAAAUGCGUAGAGAUCUGAAGGAAUACCGAUGGCGAAGGCAGCCUCCUGGCAUCAUACUGACACUGAGGCUCGAAAGCGUGGGUAGCAAACAGGAUUAGAUACCCUGGUAGUCCACGCCGUAAACGAUGUCUACUAGUCGUUGG
rnacentral:rRNA from 1 species